rnacentral:rRNA from 1 species
AGAGUUUGAUCAUGGCUCAGAACGAACGCUGGCGGCGUGCCUAACACAUGCAAGUCGAACGUGAUCCAUCCUUCGGGGUGGUGAAAGUGGCGCACGGGUGAGUAACGCGUGGAUAAUCUGCCCGAGGAUUUGGGAUAACAUCUCGAAAGGGGUGCUAAUACCGAAUAAGCCCACGGGGUCUACGGAUCUUGCGGGAAAAGGGGGGGACCUUCGGGCCUCCUGUCAUCGGAUGAGUCCGCGUACCAUUAGCUAGUUGGUGGGGUAAUGGCCUACCAAGGCGACGAUGGUUAGCUGGUCUGAGAGGAUGAUCAGCCACACUGGAACUGAGACACGGUCCAGACUCCUACGGGAGGCAGCAGUGGGGAAUUUUGCGCAAUGGGGGAAACCCUGACGCAGCAACGCCGCGUGGGUGAUGAAGGCCUUCGGGUCGUAAAGCCCUGUCGGGAGGGAAGAAAUGAUUGUGAGCUAAUACCUCGUGAUCUUGACGGUACCUCCGAAGGAAGCACCGGCUAACUCCGUGCCAGCAGCCGCGGUAAUACGGAGGGUGCAAGCGUUGUUCGGAAUUAUUGGGCGUAAAGCGCGUGUAGGCGGUCUUUUAAGUCUGAUGUGAAAGCCCCGGGCUCAACCUGGGAAGUGCAUUGGAAACUGGAAGACUUGAGUACGGGAGAGGAGAGUGGAAUUCCUAGUGUAGGAGUGAAAUCCGUAGAUAUUAGGAGGAACACCGGAGGCGAAGGCAGCCCCCUGGGCCGAUACUGACGCUCAUGCACGAAAGCGUGGGGAGCAAACAGGA